rnacentral:rRNA from 1 species
CCUACGGGAGGCAGCAGUGAGGAAUAUUGCACAAUGGGGGUACCCCUGAUGCAGCAACGCCGCGUGAGUGAAGAAUGAUCUCGGUAUGGAAAGCUCUAUCAGCAGGGAAGAAAAUGACGGUACCUGAAUAAGAAGCACCGGCUAAAUACGUGCCAGCAGCCGCGGUAAUACGUAUGGUGCAAGCGUUAUCCGGAUUUACUGGGUGUAAAGGGAGCGCAGGCGGGGAUGCAAGGCGGAUGGGAAAGCCCGGGGCUCAACCCCGGGACUGCAUUUGAAACUGCCGGGCUAGAGUGUCGGAGAGGUAAGCGGAAUGCCUAGUGUAGCGGUGAAAUGCGUAGAUAUUAGGAGGAACACCAGUGGCGAAGGCGGCUUGCUGGACGAUCACUGACGCUGAGGCUCGAAAGCGUGGGGAGCAAACAGGAUUAGAUACCCGGGUAGUC